rnacentral:rRNA from 1 species
GGGCCCGCACAAGCAGUGGAGUAUGUGGUUUAAUUCGAAGCAACGCGAAGAACCUUACCAGGUCUUGACAUCCAACUAACGAAGCAGAGAUGCAUUAGGUGCCCUUCGGGGAAAGUUGAGACAGGUGGUGCAUGGUUGUCGUCAGCUCGUGUCGUGAGAUGUUGGGUUAAGUCCCGCAACGAGCGCAACCCUUAUUGUUAGUUGCUACGCAAGAGCACUCUAGCAAGACUGCCGUUGAUAAAACGGAGGAAGGUGGGGACGACGUCAAAUCAUCAUGCCCUUUAUGACCUGGGCUACACACGUACUACAAUGGCGUUUAACAGAGGGAAGCAAGGGAGCGAUCCGGAGCAAAUCCCCAAAAAACGUCUCAGUUCAGAUUGCAGGCUGCAACUCGCCUGCAUGAAGUCGGAAUUGCUAGUAAUCGCAGAUCAGCAUGCUGCGGUGAAUACGUUCCCGGGCCUU